rnacentral:hammerhead_ribozyme from 1 species
ACCUAGCUGAUGACUCCGACAUAGAACGAAACGCGCGUCCUGGAU